rnacentral:misc_RNA from 1 species
UAGAUAGUCGACUCCUUCGAGUCAUCAGCAAUUGUCCUGAAACGUCAACGAUACAACAAACAUUGACGCCAGUUCGCCGAUCAACUACGAAUUCCGCCCAAUUACUCUUUCAUAGUUUCGUUUUUCACGGUGACUCGACACGUCGUGCAAGAGUGUGUUUCCGCGUGGCUUCUCAAACUCGAAACUUGGCCAUCUCGUCGAAUCAACGAGAAAUUACCUGGAGCCAGGUGGCUGAUAUUCUUCAGAAGGUUUGCCACAUAAAUAGCUUCUCUUGGACGAAAUUAAAAAUGUCGCUUGCAGAAAACUUACUGGGCCUAUCGUUGUCGACAUUCUCCUUAUCGGUACUGCUUGUUCCCAACUGACGUUGAGAAUGAUGGUGCUUGUGAUGACGACGAUGUCUCCUUUCGCCUGGUAG